rnacentral:rRNA from 1 species
UACGUAGGGUCCGAGCGUUGUCCGGAUUCAUUGGGCGUAAAGAGCUCGUAGGCGGCCACUCAAGUCGAAUGUGAAACCUCGAGGCUCAACCUCGAGCCUGCAUUCGAUACUGGGCGGCUAGAGUCUGGUAGGGGGAUCGUGGAAUUCCUGGUGUAGCGGUGGAAUGCGCAGAUAUCAGGAGGAACACCGGUGGCGAAGGCGGGGAUCCUGGGCCAGUACUGACGCUGAGGAGCGAAAGCGUGGGGAGCAAACAGG